rnacentral:rRNA from 1 species
AGUGAACGCUGGCGGUAGGCCUAACACAUGCAAGUCGAACGGCAGCACAGUAAGAGCUUGCUCUUACGGGUGGCGAGUGGCGGACGGGUGAGGAUUACAUCGGAAUCUACUUUUUCGUGGGGGAUAACGUAGGGAAACUUACGCUAAUACCGCAUACGACCUACGGGUGAAAGCAGGGGAUCUUCGGACCUUGCGCGAUUGAAUGAGCCGAUGUCGGAUUAGCUAGUUGGCGGGGUAAAGGCCCACCAAGGCGACGAUCCGUAGCUGGUCUGAGAGGAUGAUCAGCCACACUGGAACUGAGACACGGUCCGGACUCCUACGGGAGGCAGCAGUGGGGAAUAUUGGACAAUGGGCGCAAGCCUGAUCCAGCCAUACCGCGUGGGUGAAGAAGGCCUUCGGGUUGUAAAGCCCUUUUGUUGGGAAAGAAAAGCAGCAGGUUAAUACCCCGCUGUUCUGACGGUACCCAAAGAAUAAGCACCGGCUAACUUCGUG